UACGUAGGGGGCGAGCGUUGUCCGGAUUUAUUGGGCGUAAAGAGCUCGUAGGCGGUUCGAUAAGUCGGACGUGAAAUCUCCACGCUCAACGUGGAGGGGCCGUUCGAUACUGUCGUGACUCGAGUCCGGUAGGGGAGUGUGGAAUUCCCGGUGUAGCGGUGAAAUGCGCAGAGAUCGGGAGGAACACCCGUAGCGAAGGCGGCACUCUGGGCCGAUACUGACGCUGAGGAGCGAAAGCGUGGGGAGCAAACAGG
rnacentral:rRNA from 1 species